rnacentral:misc_RNA from 1 species
ACCUACACCUCCUCCUCCUCCUUCUCUUCCUAUAUAAUCUUUCGAUUUUAAUAAGCUUGGAGAUUCUCUCAGUUCUAAUGCCAGCAACGAUGAUUGCCGAGAAAUUGCUCCGCCGUUCAAUUUGGAGGAUGAUGACGUUGUAGAGGAUAUUUGGACGGCGUAUCGUGGCAGUCGAUUUGCAGUUGAUGAUGACGAUGGGGAGGAGGAGGAGGAGGAGGA